CUUGCUCUGUGGAUCAGUGGCGAACGGGUGAGUAACACGUGAGCAACCUGCCCCUGACUCUGGGAUAAGCGCUGGAAACGGCGUCUAAUACCGGAUAUGAGCUGCGAAGGCAUCUUCAGCAGUUGGAAAGAUUUUUCGGUCUGGGAUGGGCUCACGGCCUAUCAGCUUGUUGGUGAGGUAAUGGCUCACCAAGGCGUCGACGGGUAGCCGGCCUGAGAGGGUGACCGGCCACACUGGGACUGAGACACGGCCCAGACUCCUACGGGAGGCAGCAGUGGGGAAUAUUGCACAAUGGGCGGAAGCCUGAUGCAGCAACGCCGCGUGAGGGAUGACGGCCUUCGGGUUGUAAACCUCUUUUAGCAGGGAAGAAGCGAAAGUGACGGUACCUGCAGAAAAAGCGCCGGCUAACUACGUGCCAGCAGCCGCGGUAAUACGUAGGGCGCAAGCGUUAUCCGGAAUUAUUGGGCGUAAAGAGCUCGUAGGCGGUUUGUCGCGUCUGCUGUGAAAUCCCGAGGCUCAACCUCGGGCCUGCAGUGGGUACGGGCAGACUAGAGUGCGGUAGGGGAGAUUGGAAUUCCUGGUGUAGCGGUGGAAUGCGCAGAUAUCAGGAGGAACACCGAUGGCGAAGGCAGAUCUCUGGGCCGUAACUGACGCUGA
rnacentral:rRNA from 1 species